ACUUCACAUUGUGUAGCUUUCUACUUGACUCCAAUCAAAGUAUCAGUGAGAGGCUCAGUAAAGGAGUGUGACACCUGUUUGAUACACAAUGAUCCAUGUAGGAGUGAAGUCUGUUCCUUAAAGCUACUGAGGUGUCUAACCCAGGAGUGAGCUGGCUGAUGGGCUGGCUUUGGUUUGAUGUUGUGCUGUGUGUUGUGUUCAGUCAAGGAUCUGCAGGCUUUGCUUAGAAGAUAAUAAUAUUCAUCUUUAUUUGUUCAAACAUGUAUAAAGGUGAAUAAAGUCCACUUUCUUUGUUUCCAUCAACAAACCAAACACACAACUUAUAGAAUGAAAGUAAAAUCUUAAGUGCCACAGUAGUUACAUAAAUAACAUACACAAGUAACAGAUACAUUAAUGCAAAAAGUCUGUCAGACUACGUAACAUUUUCCAGUGUUUUGACCAAGAUAGAAGGUUUGUUGUGUGUUGUUUAUUCACUGGUUGCUCUGCCAUCAUAUGGGUUUAGCCUACAGUGUGAAUUACCUUAGAGUUCUCAAAU